rnacentral:rRNA from 1 species
GAUGAACGCUGGCGGCGUGCCUAAUACAUGCAAGUCGAGCGAACAGACGAGGAGCUUGCUCCUCUGACGUUAGCGGCGGACGGGUGAGUAACACGUGGAUAACCUGCCUAUAAGACUGGGAUAACUUCGGGAAACCGGAGCUAAUACCGGAUAAUAUAUUGAACCGCAUGGUUCAAUAGUGAAAGACGGUUUUGCUGUCACUUAUAGAUGGAUCCGCGCCGCAUUAGCUAGUUGGUAAGGUAACGGCUUACCAAGGCAACGAUGCGUAGCCGACCUGAGAGGGUGAUCGGCCACCCUGGAACUGAGACACGGCACAGACUCCUACGGGAGGCAGCAGUAGGGAAUCUUCCGCAAAGGGCGAAAGCCUGACGGAGCAACGCCGCGUGAGUGAUGAAGGUCUUCGGAUCGUAAAACUCUGUUAUUAGGGAAGAACAAAUGUGUAAGUAACUAUGCACGUCUUGACGGUACCUAAUCAGAAAGCCACGGCUAACUACGUG